AUGCUGCCUGCCCGGGUAGAAGAACUAAAGAGAUCAGCUGCAAGGGCUGGUGCUCUGACCGCACUAAUCCGGGCAAAGGCAUGGGUGCCUGACCUUGAUCCGGAGGAUGUCAGCAAAGGCUAUCCGAGCUUAAAAGAAGACGGAUCAGAAUUCAGAAAUGAGGACCUCCAAGCCAUGAACCGGGAAGUACGUCCACUGGCUUGCCAAUUAGCUGAAGAAGCUGAUCUUUCACAUUAUCAGGUGAGUUAUGACAUCCACAACAAACGGGUUGCUGCAACAACUCCAGAGGUUCAAAAUCUCACCCCGCGAAUUCGUAAGCAUACCUAUGCCCCUGACAUUGAACCGUCCACCCUUAUAAGCAACGAAGCUGUGUUCCAAGCCCUAACUGGGAUCGACUGGACAACUAUUGACUUCCAUCCGCUAGGUAGAGAUGAAGAGGAUGAACCGGCGCAAGAUGAUCCGCAGCCGUCAGGUCAAGCUGGUGAUGAAGCAUGA
rnacentral:rRNA from 1 species